rnacentral:rRNA from 1 species
AUUGAACGCUGGCGGCAGGCUUAACACAUGCAAGUCGAGCGAGCGGCGGACGGGUGAGUAGUGUCGGAGCAACUGCCUGACGGAGGGAGAUAAGUACGGGAAACGGUAGAUAAUACAGCAUACGAUGCGAUGUGCCCAGACGGGUUUAGCUAGUAGGUGGGGUAAUGGCUCACCAAGGCGACGAUCCCUAGCUGGUCUGAGAGGAUGACCAGCCACACUGGAACUGAGACACUGCCCAGACUCCUACGGGAGGCAGCAGUGGGGAAUAUUGCACAAUGGGCGCAAGUCUGAUGCAGCCAUGCCGCGUGUGUGAAGAAGGUCUUCGGGUUGUAAAGCACUUUCAUCGGGGAGGCGUUACUCGCAGAAGAAGCACCGGCUAACUCCGUGCCAGCAGCCGCGGUAAUUC